rnacentral:rRNA from 1 species
CGGUGGAUUUGAUCUAUUUCUAGUGGCGGACGGGUGAGUAACGCGUGGGUAACCUGCCUUAUACAGGGGGAUAACAGUCAGAAAUGGCUGCUAAUACCGCAUAAGCGCACAGAGCUGCAUGGCUCAGUGUGAAAAACUCCGGUGGUAUAAGAUGGACCCGCGUUGGAUUAGCUUGUUGGUGGGGUAACGGCCCACCAAGGCGACGAUCCAUAGCCGGCCUGAGAGGGUGAACGGCCACAUUGGGACUGAGACACGGCCCAGACUCCUACGGGAGGCAGCAGUGGGGAAUAUUGCACAAUGGGGGAAACCCUGAUGCAGCGACGCCGCGUGAAGGAAGAAGUAUCUCGGUAUGUAAACUUCUAUCAGCAGGGAAGAUAGUGACGGUACCUGACUAAGAAGCCCCGGCUAACUACGUGCCAGCAGCCGCGGUAAUACGUAGGGGGCAAGCGUUAUCCGGAUUUACUGGGUGUAAAGGGAGCGUAGACGGUGUGACAAGUCUGAUGUGAAAGGCAUGGGCUCAACCUGUGGACUGCAUUGGAAACUGUCAUACUUGAGUGCCGGAGGGGUAAGCGGAAUUCCUAGUGUAGCGGUGAAAUGCGUAGAUAUUAGGAG